rnacentral:rRNA from 1 species
CCUACGGGUGGCAGCAGUGAGGAAUAUUGGUCAAUGGCCGGAAGGCUGAACCAGCCAAGCCGCGUGAAGGACGAAGGUGCCAAGCAUUGUAAACUUCUUUUGUCAAGGGACAAAAUCAGGCUCGAGAGCCUGACCGAGGGUACUUGAAGAAAAAGCAUCGGCUAACUCCGUGCCAGCAGCCGCGGUAAUACGGAGGAUUCGAGCGUUAUCCGGAUUUAUUGGGUUUAAAGGGUGCGUAGGCGGCCUGUUAAGUCAGCGGGAAAAGCCCGGGGCUCAACCCCGGCGAGCCGUUGAAACUGGCUGUCUUGAGAUGUCGAGAGGUAUGCGGAAUGCGCAGUGUAGCGGUGAAAUGCUUAGAUAUUGCGCAGAACUCCGAUUGCGAAGGCAGCAUACCGGCGGCGAUCUGACGCUGAGGCACGAAAGCGUGGGUAUCGAACAGGAUUAGAUACCCGGGUAGUC